rnacentral:guide_RNA from 1 species
CGGACUCGUAUAGUGAUGUAAAGUAAAUAUAU